GAUGAAGAACGCAGCGAAAUGCGAUAAGUAAUGUGAAUUGCAGAAUUCAGUGAAUCAUCGAAUCUUUGAACGCACAUUGCGCCCGCCAGUAUUCUGGCGGGCAUGCCUGUUCGAGCGUCAUUUCAACCCUCAAGCCCCCGGGCUUGGUGUUGGGGAUCGGCGUGCCCUCGCGGCGCGCCGUCCCCUAAAUCUAGUGGCGGUCUCGCUGUAGCUUCCUCUGCGUAGUAGCAACACUCGCACUGGAUCGCAGCGCGGCCACGCCGUUAAACCCCCCACUUCUGAAAGUUUGACCUCGGAUCAGGUAGGAAUACCCGCUGAACUUAAGCAUACAAUAAGCGGAGGA
rnacentral:misc_RNA from 1 species